GCGCGCUGCGCGUCUGUUCGGCAGAGAGAAGCGGCUGAGAUUGUGUUUAAAAGCUGGAGAGUCUGUGGACGCAGCGUUUCAGCCCGUACAGCCCGGAUAAACCUCCAGAACCUCAGGGGUCCGGAUGGUUAUCUCCACGGCAGGGGGUUUGUCUCCUCUGAGGAUCCGGGAGGAGUGCACGUGCGAGGGCUGUGGUCAUUACCCCACCGGUUGGGGUGGCCGCUGCCCGGAUGGUGUCCCCCAGUAUGAAGGCUCUGGUGGACGCUGUUUGGGCCAUAUGGAGUAUCGUCGUUUACAUCUAUGACUACAUCCACACCAGCGCCAUGGAGGAGCGCAUACACACUCUGGAGAACGUCAUCACCGUCCAUCAGUGCGUUAUCGGCCUGCUGACCGCCGGACUGGUGGUACUGUUUACCUACAUCCUACUGAGGAAGCACUGAUGGAGGAGGUAGACGGCCAUUGGACAAGGCGGAGAUCACGGUUACCUGGUCAGGUGACAUCCAGCUCUGUUGAGAUCACAUGCUAAAGGGAGUUGAACAUGUCUGCCCAAUCAUCACAGUUAACACAUUCCUGCAUUAUUAAACCAACUCCCAACUCCCGGCCGUGAACGUGAACUCUCGAAAGAUGCUAAAUUGAACACCACAGUGUUGAUUUUUAAACAGACUACCCAAACGAAUGCAAAGCAAAGCUAAAUGCAUCUUAACAGUCCAGAUUAGCAAUUUACCAGAGAAGUUUCUUCUGAACAGCCCUGUUUGACUGCAUUGAAAAGACAAAUCUUUACAGGUUUUCCAUCAUUUGCCUCCUUUUUUCUCAUAUAGUUAGAUACAUAAAGCCAGUAAAGCCUUAAAAAGACGAGUUUAGAGCUUAGAGGCUCUUCUUUGGUUUGGCUCUUUAGGAUAUAAUUCAAUGCAGUCUCAAAUUUAAUCACAAUUCAUUCACUGUAUAUGUGCAUUUUUUAAAAAAUCCGCUGAACACAACAUGACUGAAGGGGCAUUUUACACACUAAUGGAACAUAGACGAUAAACACAAUAUACGAUUUUUAGUUUUUUUUUAGAUUUGACAUUUUAUUUUGACCAAAUAAGUGAGAACAUUCCAGUGCUGCAGCUCGAUUUACUUUUACAUGUAGCUACAAGCUGUGCUUUCUUUUGUAGGUAUUGUCCCUCAAAUACAUAGUGGCUGUGGCUUUUACUUUUCAUAGUGUAAUCUGUGGACAAGGGCAAGACCGGGACCAUAUGGACAGUGGAGGACAUUGCAGAAGGGUUACAUGAGCUGUUGGAGUUUGGACGAUGGUUCUGAUAUUUAUAAAUCAGCUGAAGCCUGAAAACAGAGCUAAUCUGGAUCCGUGCUUUCGCUAACUUUUUCUUGUUUUAAAACAUGUUGUAGUAUUAAUGUGUUGCUGGAUUAUUUCAUUAGGCAGCAUUAGGAAUUAACACUGUAUUAAGCCAGAUGAGUGCAUUAUGAAGUGUCCUUAGUCUUUUAAAUGUCCGAACAUGUUUACUGGGUUACUGCAUAACCGGCAUUCUGUAGCAUCUUGAUUUCUCUGAUUUACUAUUUUCAAUAAUCUCUAAUAUAAUCUUAGCAAAAAUAUUAUUUAUUCUUGCAACUAACAUUAGCAGUGGACUAAAAUUAGAGGGGAAUAUUUUUACAGCCUGAUGUCACGGACACCGAAGCAGUGGAGUUAUUUACUACUGUUACUCGUGCCACUAGGGAUGUACCGAUAUAGGAGUUGUGGGCCUAUGUCAAUAUGCAAUAUUUUUCACAUACAUAUCUGCCCGUGCUGAUAUACAGCUGUUUAUAAAGUGUAGAAAUGGGGACUGUGUCUACCUGAAGUAGCAAUCAUGAAGAAAUACGUUUAUUUCAGUAAAAUGUAUUAAAAAAUGCAGAAAGAACAUUCUGCUUUGUCAUCAGUUUUUAGUUUAAAAUAUUGGUCAAAUCUAGACAUCCGUCAUUGUCCAUCCCUUUCUGACACUUAUUCCAUUAAUAUUCUAUAUUAAUACGGUGUAAAGUCUGGGCACACUGAGAAGGACCAAAAAACAGUUUUUUGUUGUAAAUCCUGCUAUUACUGGGAAUUUGCUCAAAGUCAAAGACAGUGAGUGUGUUUAGAAGCACUUAAUAAUCUGGUAGAAUCAGAUUUUGUCAGUAAUCCUAUUAAUGUAUUUAUAUGCACUUGAGUUAUCAGAUAAAUGUGAAACUCCAGGUCUACAUGAGUCAGACAGUAAUCAGAUUUCUGCUUUGCAACCAGCCAAUAAACUCAGAGAAGAAGACAUGAUGUAAAUGUAAUGUAAAAUCUGGCAAUAAGGGGCCCAAUAACAUUUGGCAUACAUGUGGUACUUUUUACACAAUACAGAAAAACAGGGAGUAAAUUAUCCGGAAAGGGAGGAGUCUGAUGUUGUGCAUGAUGGAAAGGGAAGUCCAAUAAGAAGAUCAUUACAGUGAUCAACUCUGCUGUAACAAAUGCAUGAACAAGUUUCUCUGUAUUGAGACAGAAAAUGAUGAACUUUAGUGACAUUUCUGAACUGAUAAAAAAACCUACGGACCGUUUACAUGUGCGACAAAAGCUCAGAGGCAAAGUUAACGCUGAGAUUUCUUGUAGAUUUGGUUUCUAGUCUGGUGCUUCUCAUGGUGGGGUUGAAUCUCAAAUGGCUCCCUGCCUAGUUCACUACAUAGGAAUUUAAAUACUGGAUCCUGCACCACAAUGGCAAAAAAAAAAGCCAUUUGGGACUCCACACUUGAUAAAUGAUGCACUA